GGAAGCCAGACUGAGCAUCUCAUGUCUGCAUCAGUGCUCACUCACCACAACCCCACAGGCACUUGACCGGGGCCCCUGCGUCAGAGGGCUGGACCUGCCGCCCAGAGGAAUUAAGUGACUUUCCAGAAGUCAGGCAGGGAAUGACAGCUCAAAUGCCUGGCUGCAGCUUUCUGACUAGUCCCAUUCUCUUCCUCUGCCCUAUUCCCAUGAUACCAAGAGCAGGAGCACAGACUCCCAGAGAAGAGAGGAGUCACAAACUCGGGCAGAAAGGAUCCAAGAAGCCCUGUGGUUAACCCCUGCCUCCAGGGGAGAUGAGGCUAAAAUCCUGUGGAUCUGGCUGGCUCCUGACAUUGUAGCAGAGACGUCUCUGAAGGAGGAAGGAGGGGAGAUCCAUAUAAAGUUGGAGACGAGCAGAAGAGCAGAGGCUGCUGAUGGGACUGGGGCCAGCAGCUGCCCUCCACUUUGAGGGGUGACGGUCGUGUUAGCUUCCCAGGCUGCCAGAACAAACUCCCACAGACUGCGUUGUUGAAAACAGCAGAACUGUACUUUCCCAUAGUUCUAGAGGCUAGAAGUCUGUAAUCAAGUUAUCAGCGGGACACGCUCCCUAGGAAGGCUCCAGAGAAGGAGCCCUCCUGGUCUCUUCCUAGCUUCUUGUGGUCCCAGCAAUCGUCAGUGCUCCUUGACUUGUAGCCACAUUGCUCCUAUUUCUGCCUCCAUCUUUCCAUGGCCUUCUUCUUUGUGUGUCUCCAUAUCCAAACCUCCCUCUUUGUUCUUUUAUAAAGACACCAGUCACUGGAUUCAGGGCCCACUCCAGUCCAAUAUGACCUCAUCUUAACUUGAUUACAUCUGCAAAGACCCUGUUUCAGAAUGAGGUCAUAUUCACAGGUAUCAGGGGUUAGGCCUUCAGUGCAUUCUUUUAGAAGACACAGUCAACUCACUACAUUGGGAUUCUGGGUGGAGAGACAGAAUUUGUACUCAGGCCACACUUCUACCAUUUUGUGGCCUUAGGCAUUGGCUUCUCCAGUCUAAAGGAGAAAGUAAAUAGGAAAUUAGAAUGUGUUAGGUGCCUGUGGUGUGAGGUGAGGGCUGUGAGGUCAACAUGUCUUCCCUAUUUUGCAGAUAAGGAGACUGAGGCUGGGACAGGGCAUGACAGUUACCCAGUCCCGCUGCCAGUAAGAAUGGUUUCCUAGAACAUGAGUGGUGAUGGAGUGCACGUUGACCCCUUCCGGAGUUCAAAUUCAACACAGUCAAAGCUUAUGACUUCAUAAAAUACCAGAGGGUUGAUUCCUGGUCCCCGAGUGAAUCAAAGGAUAGGAGAUUAAAAAAAUAAACAGUAGCUGAAAGCAGAAACCAGGACUUGCACUGCCUUGUGGAAAUGAUUAAGAGUGUUAGACUCCUGAGAGAGGAUGCACAGCUAUGCAGUUCCCUCUGUGCAGCAGCCAGGUCAGCUUUGGUCAUGUGAUGUGGCCACGAAGGACAGUACAGAUGAAAAUCUCUGCUCUGUCUUCAUCUAUAGAGGCCCACAGCGCCAGCCCCAUAGUGCCCUGACCCCAGACUAGGCGACAACGUAGGUUCCCAUCUUGGUUUUCAUGUCGCUGUUGGAUUUUCUGUGGAUGGUGGGCCUGUCCAUGUGUCCACCACAGACUGAGAGACCCCCAGAGGCCAUCUGGUGGAAAUUCAGCACAACCCACCAUCCUGGCACCUUCUGAAUGUAAGCACUGUGCUAGAGAUCCAGACGAGGGAUUGGUUUCCAGCUCCAAGGAAUUGGCCCUAUUUCCUAUGGACAUUCCCUCUUCCGAACCCACUGCCCAGCUCCUUCCCAAGGGUCCAGUUCCCCAGCAGGACUUGGACAAGGACUGUGCUGUGGCCCCUGCUGGAGUAGGGAUGAGGCAAAGCCACCUACAGGGACAGCCUGGACUGACUCAUUCUGGAAAGAAGACAGAUGGGCUCCUUGGGGCUCCCAAGUCCUGUUGGCAGGGCUGACCUCUCAGCCUAACCUCAUCCAUCCAGGCUCCUCUGAGGGACUGGCCAGGCCUGGAGAAGUCAUUUGGGGAGUGUUUAAGAUCAGAAGAAAAAGAAAAUAGCCAGGAUCUGGGAGAUUCAUUAACUUUUCUGUGCUGUGUCCUGACACCUGGUUUUCCGUUGGGGAAAUUCAUGGAUGACUCUGCCUCCUUCUUGACCUCUGUGGUCCUGGCUGGGCCUCCUGACUUUGUUACUUCAGCUCAUCCUUCAGAAGACAACUGUGCACCUCUUCAGUAAGAAGGGUGUGGCCAUCUGGCCCCUCACCCAUGUGAC
ensembl:lncRNA